GAUGAAGAACGCAGCGAAAUGCGAUAAGUAGUGUGAAUUGCAGAAUUCAGUGAAUCAUCGAAUCUUUGAACGCACAUUGCGCCCUUUGGUGUUCCUUAGGGCAUGCCUGUUCGAGCGUCAUUUGAAACCUCAAGCUCAGCUUGGUGUUGGGUGUCUGUCCCCGCCUCACCGCGGGGACUCGCCUCAAAAUCAUUGGCGGCCGGUACGUUGGCUUCGAGCGCAGCAGAAACGCGAACUCGAGGCCCGGCGGAUCGGCGACCAGAAGUCACUUCUUCACAGUUUGACCUCGGAUCAGGUAGGGAUACCCGCUGAACUUAAGCAUAUCAAUAAGCGGAGGA
rnacentral:misc_RNA from 1 species